rnacentral:rRNA from 1 species
GACGAACGCUGGCGGCGUGCCUAAUACAUGCAAGUCGAGCGGAUGGAAGGAAGCUUGCUUCCUAAAGUCAGCGGCGGACGGGUGAGUAACACGUGGGCAACCUGCCCCUAAGAUCGGGAUAACUUCGGGAAACCGGAGCUAAUACCGGAUAUGAUUAUGUCUCACAUGAGACAUAAUGGAAAGACGGUUUCGGCUGUCCCUUAGGGCUGGGCACGCGGCGCAUUAGCUAGUUGGUGAGGUAACGGCUCACCAAGGCGACGAUGCGUAGCCGACCUGAGAGGGUGAUCGGCCACACUGGGACUGAGACACGGCCCAGACUCCUACGGGAGGCAGCAGUAGGGAAUCUUCCGCAAUGGACGAAAGUCUGACGGAGCAACGCCGCGUGAGUGAAGAAGGUUUUCGGAUCGUAAAACUCUGUUGUUAGGGAAGAACAAGUACCAUAGUAACUGAUGGUACCUUGACGGUACCUAAUCAGAAAGCCACGGCUAACUACGUGCCAGCCGCCGCCGUAA